GACGAACGCUGGCGGCGUGCUUAACACAUGCAAGUCGAACGGAAAGGCCCUUCUUUUGUGGGGUGCUCGAGUGGCGAACGGGUGAGUAACACGUGAGUAACCUGCCCUUGACUUUGGGAUAACUUCAGGAAACUGGGGCUAAUACCGGAUAGGAGCUCCUGCUGCAUGGUGGGGGUUGGAAAGUUUCGGCGGUUGGGGAUGGACUCGCGGCUUAUCAGCUUGUUGGUGGGGUAGUGGCUUACCAAGGCUUUGACGGGUAGCCGGCCUGAGAGGGUGACCGGCCACAUUGGGACUGAGAUACGGCCCAGACUCCUACGGGAGGCAGCAGUGGGGAAUAUUGCAAAAUGGGCGGAAGCCUGAUGCAGCAACGCCGCGUGCGGGAUGACGGCCUUCGGGUUGUAAACCGCUUUCGCCUGUGACGAAGCGUGAGUGACGGUAAUGGGUAAAGAAGCACCGGCUAACUACGUG
rnacentral:rRNA from 1 species